rnacentral:ncRNA from 1 species
CACGCACGUCGGGGGAGUUCCGCUUAGGGAACUGAGAGGCUGACAGCGGGGGAAACCCUGCGGUGACGCGACCCUUUGAACCUGACCCAGUUGAUACUGGCGUAGGAAGACCGAAGGGCACUCCG